AGAGUUUGAUCCUGGCUCAGAAUGAACGCUGGCGGCGUGCCUAACACAUGCAAGUCGGAUGUGCCUUUCGGGGUGCAUGGCAGACGGGUGAGUAACGCGUAGGGAAUCUACCUUUUCGUGGGGAAUAACGUUCCGAAAGGAAUGGUAAUACCGCAUAAGACCAAUGGCUGGGAUGCUGUUGGUGAAAGCCGGGGACCUUCGGGCCUGGCGCGAGAAGAGGAUCCUGCGUCUGAUUAGCUAGUUGGCGGGGUAACGGCCUACCAAGGCGACGAUCAGUAGCCGGCCUGAGUGGGUGAUCGGCCACACUGGAACUGAGACACGGUCCAGACUCCUACGGGAGGCAGCAGUGGGGAAUUUUGCGCAAUGGACGAAAGUCUGACGCAGCAACGCCGCGUGGGUGACGAAGGUCUUCGGAUCGUAAAACCCUGUCGUCAGGGACGAAGGUAGGGAGUUUAAUACGCUCUUUGCUUGACGGUACCUGGAGAGGAAGCCCCGGCUAACUCUGUGCCAGCAGCCGCGGUAAUACAGAGGGGGCAAGCGUUAUUCGGAAUUAUUGGGCGUAAAGGGCGCGUAGGCGGUUCUGUAAGUAGGAUGUGCAAUCCCCGAGCUCAACUUGGGAACUGCAUCCUAGACUGCAAGACUAGAGUGCUGGAGAGGGUGGUAGAAUUCCACGUGUAGCGGUGAAAUGCGUAGAGAUGUGGAGGAAUACCAGUGGCGAAGGCGGCCACCUGGACAGUAACUGACGCUGAGGCGCGAAAGUGUGGGUAGCAAACAGGAUUAGAUACCCUGGUAGUCCACGCUGUAAACGAUGAACACUUGGUGUGGCGGGAGUUGACCCCUGCCGUGCCGGAGCUAACGCGUUAAGUGUUCCGCCUGGGGAGUACGGUCGCAAGGCUGAAACUCAAAGGAAUUGACGG
rnacentral:rRNA from 1 species